UCUUCAGCGAGACGAUGUGAUCGACCUCCACGGGUCCAGCGGGACUCAUGGGCAGCGAAGUGCUGAUCGAGAGCUGCUGAUGUUCCAAGAUGUCAAGGACAGAAUAAACCCUCCCAGAUCCCAUCCAGCUCUGAGACAGAACAAACAGGUGUGGCUGGAAGAGAUUGUUGUCAGUGGAGAUAAGAGGAUGAGUCACUUCUCUGUUCCAUGUGUUGUGUGUUUAUAUGUCAGCGCGGCGUGAACUUUCAGAUGUCCACCUUCAACAGGGACAGUCUCCGUCUCUGGAUGCAGUCCAGAGACGACCACGGUUUCUCCUAAAGAACCGCUACAACCACCUCAUGCCCUGAACGUCGACUUGUUGCCAACAAAAUUCUUAAACCCUUCGAGAUCUGAUACCAACCUCAUGAAACAUCUCAUGUAAUCUCACCCCGAUGUUAAACCUAAGAUAGCAAAACUUUACCUCAAGUGUUGACUGUCUUUUCACUACCGUAACUCUUCAACCAUUAACGGCGAUUCUGGUUUCAUUUGUUUGGCGAUCCACAACUUCAACAGGCACUUAUGUACCAAAACAAAAAUGGAGGAAUCAGAAUAAUAAUUGUAUUUCAGUCGUUUCAAACUGCUAGAGGAACUAUUCGGAAUGUAAAAAACGUGCACGUCUUCUUGACCUGCAAACCUCUAACAUUUUUUUUUUGUACCUUUUGCUGCUGUAUUCAAAGAAAUGGAAAUGUGCUCAAACUUCAGUGAGCAUUCUGGGUCAUCUAUAUGCAAACACUGAGGCUUUUCAUCUGCAGAGAGCAGCUGUUUCUGAAUGUUGGUGCAGUCCAGCUGCAAAGCACAGCGUCCUAUCAGAACUGGUGUUAUCUCAUAGAAAAAUUCAAACACAUUGGACACGUUUGCAGACCAAGACGGGCAUUUUGCAUUCGCUGAAACAUUCAGAAGAGAUACAUUUUUGUUUUUGAGUGCAUUUUUUUGUUACAAGAAUUUCAAUUGCUGUUAUUUGUUUCCAGAUUUCUGUUUUUUUAAUGACCCAAUGUAUUUGACCAUACUUCCUGUAAUUCAGCUGUUUUUGAUUUAAACAAGUCAUGUUUGA